CAAAGCCUUGUGCUUAGAGGGUAGAAAAAGCUACCCAGAUAUUAACACACUGCACUAUUACUUUGCUGUACUUGGAGAAUUUCUGGGACCUACAAGAUCUGCUGGAGCUUUAAAAAAAUCCCCAUGUCCCACAGGGUGAAUUUCCAAGGAGUCAAUAUUAUUCAGUGAAAUUCACCAGGACGAGUGAAAUUAAGUCUUUAUUACUCACAUGAGUAAGAACAGCACGGACUCAAGGAUAAAGAGUAUCUUUAAACAGCAUUGCCUACGAGAUUUAAAAUCAGAGAGCUUUUGCUUCAUCAGAAAACUAGUUUUGGAAUGCAGCAUUAUUUUGCCUUCCUGCAAGUCAGCAUCAUCCAUUUUUUAUUAUUAGCUUUUGUUUACAAAAAUCAUCCCAUUAUGUCUACCUGUGACCUAAGUUUGAUCCUUAUGCAAUUCAUCAUAAGGAGCUAAAUCUCAUUGCGCAGCCAGGAGCAAAUGCAGCUCAUGCCUUCCUAUUACAAACUAGAAAGGAUUUGGGGUCACAUUAGUUUAUCAUUUCCUCCAAAACUUUAUUAGCUAAAACAAUUCUCUGUUCCAUAUUAAAGCUAAUUAUGUUAAUGAACGUUGAAAAAUCUUCAGUCUUGCACAUUUUUUCCACUAGUUACAUAUCUUUAUAAUGAUCUAGAUUUAGUGAAUCCACACUCAAGCAUUUAAAUAUAAGAUAUUAAUGAACUACCAAUAAGUUGUACUUACGUGUCAUGCAAGAAAAUCAAACAGUACCCAAAUAGGCCCUACGGCACGUUCUUUGCUUCACAUUUCUACUUCACUAUUUUCUUCUUCAAACAAGUUCUCAAUUAAAAUUGUCACCCAUUGUACAGAUGUUAUUUCCUGUAGCACUUGUCUUACUUGGGGUCAGAUUUAUCCUCCCAUGAUGAAAAAGCCACCAGAAGGGGAAACUCUGUG